rnacentral:misc_RNA from 1 species
CUCUGAUAAGGUGGAAGCGUUAAAAUGCAGGCUAAGUUAUAGGACUCUUCUGAAUGCUUUUCCUUUGAAAAGUAACCAACCAUAUGACAACCUCGGUCGUCACAUUCACAAAGCACGUAAAAGAGGAACAGGUCAACAUCAUAAUAAAGAGUCUUGUGAUCAAGAAACAAUUUGGCCAAGUAGCAUAGAUUUUGCCCAUAAACCUUGUUCUUUUUUCCAUCAACCUCAAACAUUGAUAAAGUACCACAUCGAUAAAUUUCAUCACCAGGAGGAUGCUUCAGAUCACACUUCCUCAUAUGUCUCUG